GUUGUUCGGAAUUACUGGGCGUAAAGCGCGCGUAGGCGGACUGGAAAGUUGGGGGUGAAAUCCCAGGGCUCAACCCUGGAACUGCCUUUAAUACUGCUAGUCUUGAGUUCGAGAGAGGUGAGUGGAAUUCCGAGUGUAGAGGUGAAAUUCGUAGAUAUUUGGAGGAACACCAGUGGCGAAGGCGGCUCACUGGCUCGAUACUGACGCUGAGGUGCGAAAGUGUGGGGAGCAAACAGGAUUAGAUACCCUGGUAGUCCACACCGUAAACGAUGAAUGCCAGACGUCAGCAAGCAUGCUUGUUGGUGUCACACCUAACGGAUUAAGCAUUCCGCCUGGGGAGUACGGUCGCAAGAUUAAAACUCAAAGGAAUUGACGGGACCCCGCACAAGCGGCGGAGCAUGCGGCUUAAUUCGAUGAUACCCGUAGAACCUUACCUGGACUUGACAUAUAGGGAAAAGUUAUAGAAAUAUAAUGUGCAUUAGCGCCCUAUACAGGUGGUGCAUGGCU
rnacentral:rRNA from 1 species